rnacentral:rRNA from 1 species
GUGCCAGCAGCCGCGGUAAGACGAACCGUGCGAACGUUGUUCGGAAUCACUGGGCUUAAAGGGCGCGUAGGCGGGCUGUCAAGUCUGGGGUGAAAUCCCGCGGCUCAACCGUGGAACUGCCUCAGAUACUGACGGCCUCGAGGGAGGUAGGGGCGAGCGGAACUGUGAGUGGAGCGGUGAAAUGCGUUGAUAUUCACAGGAACUCCGGUGGCGAAGGCGGCUCGCUGGACCUCUUCUGACGCUGAGGCGCGAAAGCCAGGGGAGCAAACGGGAUUAGAAACCCCAGUAGUCC